GUAGAUCAAAGAUAAAGGUAGACAAGAUUAUACUAUACAACAGGUAGAUUAAAGAUAAAGGUAGACAAGAUUAUACUAUACAACAGGUAGAUCAAAGAUAAAGGUAGACAAGAUUAUACUAUACAACAAGUAGAUUAAAGAUAUAGGUAGACAAGAUUAUACUAUACAACUAGCCUACCUUGUCCAGAAUUUUCCCAGUGACACCCAUACCAUUUAGAAUCGUAACCUAUUAGAAAUAAAAAAAUAACAAUUUUAAGAAAACCAUACACUUUAAAUGUUGUGAAAAGCCAAAUGACCUUAUAAUUGUACUAACUAUUGAAAAUGACUCUACCAAGUUAUUAUUAUGCAUGUGAACAAAUACAAUAAUUUAUUUUACCAUAAAAUUUAAAGAACAUUAUUGACAGUUUAAAGUUAGUAUUUUAUUAAGUGACUUUAUAAUUCCUCUGGUGAACAGUAAUUCUAAAAAUUUAAUUUGAUGAUGGUCCACUGGCCAGUAUCAACACAUCUGAUGAUGGUAACACAUCUGAUGAUGGUAAACUGGCCAGUACCAACAACUGUGAUGAUGGCCCACUGGCCAGUACCAACAAGUGUGAUGAUGGCCCACUGGCCAGUACCAACAAGUGUGAUGAUGGCCCACUGGCCAGUACCAACAAGUGUGACGAAGCCAGAUUUGUUAUUGAAGCAUUGGACUGAGAUUCUAGUGUUAUAAAAUAGUUUUUAUUUCAAUGAAGAAUAUCCUUAGUACUUCAAAUGAAAUAUUUGUACCAGAUAAUUCUGUUCUAAGUUUUCUUACAAUAAAGAGGAACAGACCCAAUUUAAUGUAUAAUAGCAUAACAUGUACAAAACUAAAAACUAUCACGUUUACAAAUUCCCCAUUUCAGUUGCCCUUUCAUGGGCCACUGUCCCAGGUUUUUACCAAUUUAAAAUGUCUCGACCCGCUGCAUUAACCAAGGCAAAAAAUUGAUUCAACUAAUUUAAAGUAAGUCCAAAAUGAGUCAGAAAUAACUUACAUUGACAAUGACAGGCAUGCCACCGUAGUAGACAGGCUGAGUACAGUAGGGCCACAUAUAAGGGGAUUCCAUAAGGUCAAUGUAGCUGGGACUUGCGCUGUGGGAGAUACAGAGAAAUACAUACAUCAGUACCCAUAGGGCUAAUACUGAUGUGGCAUAAACCAUUAAAAAAUCACCAGUCAUCAAUACUCUAUACAAAAGUAACCAGGCGCUGUUAAUGUGAAACGAUCAAUAUAAUCAUAGAACAUCUCAAAAAAAAAAAAAAAAGUUGCAUAAACCAUUAAAAAAUCACCAGUCAUCAAUACUUUAUACAAAAGUAACCAGGCGCUGUUAAUGUGAAACGAUCAAUAUAAUCAUAGAACAUCAAAAAAAGUUGAUGUAGAAUAAGAUGUUAAAGACUACAUACAAAUGCAAUGACUAAAAGAUUUCCUGGUGGACUGAG